AUAAUGUUGUUCAUUCUCUGCUGGAUAAGCUUGGAAAUAUUACUAGUUUCAGGUUCCUCUCUAAGCAGCCAAAUCUUCCAGAAUCCAAAUGAGAUCGUUCAGAGAAAUGGGGAAAUGACCCAAAUCAACUGUUCUCACAGCAUCCAGAGCUACGAUCAAAUCCUCUGGUACAAACGAACAGAAAAUCAAAUGCAGCUGCUGGGAUACAUGCUAAGAAAAAGUCCAUUUCUAGAGAAGGGCCUGAAUGUGGAGAUGACAGGCGGUGCAAAUAAAGACGAGAACUGCACUCUGACAAUUAAACACCCAACUGUGAACAGCAGUGCAGUUUACUUCUGUGCAGCUCGCUACCACAGUGCAACACAUCACUGCUGCUCAGUACAAAAACCACCACCUCACUGUUCCUGUUAUCUAUAUUAUCAAUCAUUUCAUCCUUAUGCACCUGUGAAAACACAAAGUGAUUCCUUCUACUGGGUUUAG